rnacentral:lncRNA from 1 species
UUUCUCUUCUUCUUUACUCUAUACGUUGGUGUUAUAACCAAUAAUCACCAAAGCGAAGUUCUGUCCGAUUGAUUAGGAACCAACGAACGAAUGCCAAAGUGUUGUACUUUGUGAAUUUCGGUAAACGGAAUCCAAAGUACUAUACCUUGUGAUUUCGAUAAACGGAAUCCAAAGUAUUACAUUUUGUAAAUUUUGUUAAGGUUCGAAUCUCGUGACUACCGUUAGGUGUGAUUUGGGUUUUACACAAAUACGUAUUCCAUUCUGUUAAACUAUAUGUUUAACUACCGAAAAUACUUCCCACUACACACUCACAAUCAAACAAACUAUUAAAUCAUCAGAAGAUCCAGAAUAAUAAAGGGCAUGCUUAAUUAUCGAAAGAAGUAGAAUCAAGAAGUUGUUAACUCAAUCCUACAUGCUAAUUUGUAAUUACAGUAUAUUGGAGUAAGGAUU